AUCAGAACAUCUCAGUGUUGAGAAUUGUUUAUACAAUAUUUUUUCUUUCGUCAAUAUACCAAUCACUUACAUCACCUGAGCUUUUGAUGUAAAAUCAUUAAGCCAUUCCUUGGUUUUCUGUUCUUUUUUAACGAUAACCCUAUUCCUUCAUUUCAUCCAAACAAAAUCGGAACCUUACAUCACAUCAGCUUUUGAUUUAUUAUAGAUUAUGAUUUGAGUAUAUAUUUGUUAUUAGCAUUAUUACUGUAUUAGGGUUUAGAUUUCUAUAAAGCAACUUUAUCAAUUGAUCAUGGACAGAUAGAAUUGAUGAUCUCUUACUCGAACCAGAUCUAAUAUUUCUACAUACUACAGAGUAGCCGAGAUAGAAACUAAAAGGAGUAAAACAUGGAGAAUAAGAAAAGUCUACCUUUCUGUAAGUUUAUCACUUAUGAAUCCAUGUGGGUCUCAGUAAAAGCAAUACAGUAUGUCCAUGUGGGUCCUACUAAAAGCAGUACAAUAUAUCGACGUGUCCAUAUAAAUUAAAAGCUUCAUCUGCUUGUGGUUUAUUAGAGAAGAAAAUAUUUUAACUUUCCAAAAAAAAUUUUAGGAAUUACGUAAGCAAGAUUCCAAAAAUUUUAACUUUCCGAGAAAGAUGGUGAAAUUUAAGAGAAGAAAAUAUUUUUUUUGUUACGUGAAACAUCAUUGUGGGGUGGCCCACAAUAUGCCGGUUAAAGAAUAAUCUAGACUCAUUUACCAACCUACUUACAGAUAAGUAUGUACAAGUUUAUCUUGUAAAGUAUUAGCUAGACUAAUCUUAGUCCUCAAGGUUUAGUCAUAAUUUGAUGUAAACACUUGUUCCCAUACGUGGCUUUAAUUGUAUCAUUAGUUGGAUAUUUUGUUAGGCUAUAAAUAGCCGACCCCUUUAUGUAACUAACACACAGAGUCCUUUAUGUAACUAACACACAGAGAAAGAAAUGUAUACUAAGAAAGAAGAAAUGAAAAGGGAAACGAAAGUCCCAUUCCUCCCAUAUAACUUUUCAUGUUAUUUGUAUAUUACCCAUUUAGUGAACUAACUAGAUAGUCAAGUCCCCGUCUAUCUUCUCAUCAUCUUACGUUUAAGAUGAGCUAUAAAUAUUUGUCGGUCGAUUUGAAUAUCAUACAACACGUUAUCAGCACGAAUCGCUCUUUUAGAAAUGUCGACUCCAUGUUUACGUUGCUGGUUGUUAUGGGAAAUUUGGUGGAGUGUGACUUCAGCAUAAUCAUUAUCCGGCUAUACAUAUUUGUAUGGAAGCAGAUCACUUGCAUCAAGGGAUAUGUGAAGCUGAUGACAACAUGAAGAUCACGAAUAAAAAUUCCUUUUUCAUAUUUCACACUCAUUUACGAAAAGUACUUUUAUAUAUGUAUAUGCAUCAUGGUACUAAUUGCGUGGUUCAUGUUUUUUGUUUUGAUCAUGAUGGCAACCAAGCAAAACGGGUCCAAUAGCAAACCUGCUAUCAUGUAUACAUGCAUCAAAAGCGCAUUUGAACUUCCUGUUUCAAUAAUCUCCACAAAAUUUAAAAAUAAUUCCACCAGAAGAUGGAUAUCGUGCGGCAUAGUAUGGAUGUAAAAGCACGCUCCGCUAGCCCGUUGGUCCCAGAAGUGACCCGUUACAAAGUGCUAGCCAGUUUCUAUAGGCGGUCCCUGAAGUGACCAAGUAGGAAACUUUGCCAUAAAUAGUUUAUCCAUUUGCGCACUUGUAAAUUAACAUUUCGUUGACCCUGAAGGUGACGAGGUUGGAGAUUUGUUGAUAUUGUAUUAGUACCAUAUUUGUUUUGAUGUUUAUCCUUUGUUUUAAGUUUUGUUUAUUUUCUUUGCUUAUUUUUGUAAGUAAUAAAUUCCAGAAGCAAUCCAUGAGACGUUGUCGACUGCAGGAGCAGUCCAACAUA